rnacentral:lncRNA from 1 species
CAAGUACUCUGGAAGAAAAGAAAAUACGUAAGUAAAUGGUCAAUUAUUUGGCACAAAUCGGAGUUAAAGACAAAGGAGAUUGUAUAUUUUUUUUGCUAAGAAUAGUUUUUUA